UGAAKUUUGAUCCUGGSUCCURUGUACSUUGGCGGCGUGUGGUCAUAUGCAAGUCGAACGAAGAAGUCCUUCGGGAUGGAUUAGUGGCGCACGGGUGAGUAAUAUAUAGUUAAUGUACCUUCAAGACUGGGAUAGCCACUGGAAACGGUGAUUAAUACUAGAUAUACCUCUCUAACAUAAGUUAGAGUGGGAAAUGUUUUUUCGCUUGAAGAUCARACUAUAUCCCAUCAGUUUGUUGGUGAGGUAAUGGCUCACCAAGGCAAUGACGGGUAGCGGGUUUGAGAGGAUGAUCCGCCACACUGGUACUGAGACACGGACCAGACUCCUACGGGAGGCAGCAGUGAGGAAUAUUGCACAAUGGGGGAAACCCUGAUGCAGCAACGCCGCGUGGAGGAUGACGCAUUUCGGUGUGUAAACUCCUUUUAUGAGUCAAGAAAAUGACGGUAGCUCAUGAAUAAGCACCGGCUAACUCCGUGCCAGCAGCCGCGGUAAUACGGAGGGUGCAAGCGUUACUCGGAAUCACUGGGCGUAAAGGACGCGUAGGCGGGUUGGUAAGUCAGAUGUGAAAUCCUACAGCUCAACUGUAGAACUGCAUUUGAAACUACCGACCUAGAGUAUGGGAGGGGGAGAUGGAAUUAGUGGUGUAGGGGUAAAAUCCGUAGAUAUCACUAGGAAUACCAAAGCGAAGGCGAUCUCCUGGAACAUUACUGACGCUAARGGCGUGAAAGCGUGGGGAGCAAACAGGAUUAGAUACCCUGAUAGUCCACGCCCUAAACGAUGAACACUAGUCGUCGRAAAGCUUGUCUUUUCGGUGAUGCACUUAACAGAUUAAGUGWUCCGCCUGGGGARUACGGUCGCARGAUUAAAACUCAAAGGAAUAGMCGGGACCCGCMCCAAGUGUUGGASCAUGUGGKUUAAUUCGGAAUCCSCGAAARACCYUUACUUGGCCYUUGACAUGAUAGAAUYCUGCYWGAARAWSSSGAAUGGCCCYUUCG
rnacentral:rRNA from 1 species